UGCGGUGAUCCGGACAGUUCAAAAAAAGAAGAAACCAAGUGUCUUUCAGCAGCGCAUGAUAUCCAUCGACCGUGCGUUGAAGAGUUUGGUCUAUGGAUCUUUCAAGGUGACAGUUGUGUAUGUGGCUGCUGCUACUGCUUUCUCUGGCAGUGGGCUAGAAGCGUAGCCCAGGCCGUUACCAAGGAAAACGUGUGAAGACGAGGUGGAAAAAUGAGAACCAAAGAUGGCCGCCCAGCUUGUUUUAUGUUUAAUUAUGACCCCUGCAGUUUGGCUAGCUAGCACUAUGCUAUCGUACGCUGUGAUAUUGUGUGACAUGGUAUCAUGUUAUUAUAUCUCUACCUAUCUAUCUAUUCGAGUAGAUUCUGCAUGAAACUGUAGCUUGAAGUGAACAUGCUUGCAAGGUCACUGACGUGCAUUGUUGGGCUCCUGUUUAGUGCUUCUGGAUCGAAGUGAUUGCAAUCUACUCAGAAGUGCUCACUUUCA